UCCCGGCGGAGGCUACUGCUAUUGGGGUUCGAUUAAGCCAUGCAAGUUGAACGAUUCUUCGGGAUCGUGGCGAACGGCUCAGUAACACGUGGAUAACCUACCCUUAGGACCGGUAUAACCCUGGGAAACUGGGGACAAUCCCGGAUAGGUGAUUUUUUCUGUAAUGAUUUUUCAUUUAAAUGCUCCGGCGCCUGAGGAUGGGUCUGCGGCAGAUUAGGUAGUUGGUAGGGUAAUGGCCUACCAAGCCGGUGAUCUGUACGGGUUGUGAGAGCAAGAGCCCGGAGAUGGAACCUGAGACAAGGUUCCAGGCCCUACGGGGCGCAGCAGGCGCGAAACCUCCGCAAUGCGAGAAAUCGCGACGGGGGGACCCCCAAGUGCCACUCUUAACGGGGUGGCUUUUCUUGAGUGUAAAAAGCUUUUGGAAUAAGGGCUGGGCAAGACCGGUGCCAGCCGCCGCGGUAACACCGGCAGCUCUAGUGGUAGCCAUUUUUAUUGGGCCUAAAGCGUUCGUAGCCGGUUUGAUAAGUCUCUGGUGAAAUCCUGUAGCUUAACUGUGGGAAUUGCUGGAGAUACUAUUAGACUUGAGGUCGGGAGAGGUUAGCGGUACUCCCAGGGUAGGGGUGAAAUCCUGUAAUCCUGGGAGGACCACCUGUGGCGAAGGCGGCUAACUGGAACGAACCUGACGGUGAGGGACGAAAGCCAGGGGCGCGAACCGGAUUAGAUACCCGGGUAGUCCUGGCCGUAAACGA
rnacentral:rRNA from 1 species